UACAGGAGGUCUCAAGCGUUGUUCGGAUUUCAUUGGGCGUAAAGGGUGCGUAGGUUGCGCUGUAAGUCCGGGUGUGGAAAUUUCGGAGACUUAACUCCGAAACUGCAUUCGAUACUGCGGUGCUUGAGGACUGGAGAGGAGACUGGAAUUCAUGGUGAGCAGUGAAAUGCGUAGAGAUCAUGAGGAGACCAGUGGCGAAGGCGGGUCUCUGGACAGUUCCAUGACACUGAGGCACGAAGGCCAGGGAGCAAACGG
rnacentral:rRNA from 1 species